AGUGAACGCUGGCGGUAGGCCUAACACAUGCAAGUCGAACGGCAGCACAGUAAGAGCUUGCUCUUACGGGUGGCGAGUGGCGGACGGGUGAGGAAUACAUCGGAAUCUACUUUUUCGUGAGGGAUAACGUAGGGAAACUUACGCUAAUACCGCAUACGACCUACGGGUGGAAGCAGGGGAUCUUCGGACCUUGCGCGAUUGAAUGAGCCGAUGUCGGAUUAGCUAGUUGGCGGGGUAAAGGCCCACCAAGGCGACGAUCCGUAGCUGGUCUGAGAGGAUGAUCAGCCACACUGGAACUGAGACACGGUCCAGACUCCUACGGGAGGCAGCAGUGGGGAAUAUUGGACAAUGGGCGCAAGCCUGAUCCAGCCAUACCGCGUGGGUGAAGAAGGCCUUCGGGUUGUAAAGCCCUUUUGUUGGGAAAGAAAAGCAGCAGGUUAAUACCCCGCUGUUCUGACGGUACCCAAAGAAUAAGCACCGGCUAACCUCGUG
rnacentral:rRNA from 1 species